UGUGGGAGCGGGCUUGCUCGCGAAAGCGAUGGGUCAGUCACGGUAGGUGUCACUGACAGAUCCAAUUCGCGAGCAAGCCCGCUCCCACA
rnacentral:misc_RNA from 2 species